UUUUUAUUAUAUAAAUUAAUGUUCAGCUUUAACUAUUCACGUUGUUUGCAGGUGAAAUCCAUGUAGAAUAGGACUGGUGCUUCCAUUGAAGAAGAAUUAGCCGCCUCGCAAGUCGUAAAUGCAAUAAAAUCAUGCAUACUAUUAUUAAAAGCGGCCCCGUCUGGUCUCACGCCGAAUAUACUGUAGCCAUGAGUGGGUUUGGGUCAAUUAUUUACCACACUUUAAGAUAACUGUUGAUCAAAACGCCCCAGAAAUAUGCAGUAAUGUAGUUUUCUACAUAACCAAGCCCGCUUACAGCCGGCUCCAGACGAUUAUAGGUCGGCGAUUAGAUGAUUCUUUACAGCCCACCACAAAGGGGAAAAAAAACAAUCAAAAUGUGAUAAAAGUUUCAGCUUUAAUUUGAUUUUUAAAAACAUGGAAAUCACCAUUUAGGAAUAAUAACAUUUUUUUUUCCAAAAGUCGCUCAAUUUUUAAAGAUCAAACAUGGUAUCAUAACAUAUCGAUUAACAAGAAGUAUGGUAGAAGGGGUGUUGGAGCCAAUAUGGGUGUUUUUGGUUUAUUUUUGUUGAAAGAUUGGUUAAUAUAUUUUUUGUGUUACUAAUAUACCAAGCCACAAGAGGGCAGCAAUCACCUUGGUAAUGGGUCACGUCACACAAUUAAGUAUUAAAUAGACACAGGUGUGUGGGCUCAAUGUGUUUUGGACGACAGGGAGCAUAAAGUUUAUUACCGCACGUUAACCCGUACUUUACGUGAAUGUCAUACAAACCACGGGAAAACAACAUUCCACAACAAGCAACAAUAACGAGAGAGAGACAGAAGACCGGCGAAGCAGACAACAAAACAAACCUAAGGUAUGCGUGUAAAGAAAGUUAUCAAUUGGUCUAUUCCCCACCGUGGCUAAUUAGUCACAACAAGCGGGGUCCACACAUGAAGCAGAUAAAAGGUGUGGAGUUGGUUUCAGGUUUUUGACUGGAGAUAUUUAAGUCCACGGAUGUCUGGGGGGUAUUCCAAGAAGGAGGUUUAAUAAACACUGAUUUAAAGUCUCAUCUUGAGGUUAUCUGGGGGCUAUUCCAAGAAGGAGGUUCAACAAACACUGAGUUAAAGUCUCAUCUUGAGGUUAUUUGAACCCAUGACUGAAGGGUUUUAUGCCGUCCACCAGGGGGCAGUAUGAGCCUUACCUGUAGAGGGAAGUAACAGGCAUCGUUGUUGUGUGCGGGGUUCACGUUCUAUACAUUGCUCAUUGGUUUUAUGAAAAUAUAUGGUAUAGUUUCUGUUACUUUAUUUUGUUAUUUUAUUUCAGGGUUUGCUUACUUAUGUUAUAUAGACUUGAUUGAGAUAUAUUAUGUUAUUUAAGAAAAUGCCUAUAUUUUCAUUUGAGAUUCAGCCUGCUUAUGUUUGUUGUUUACUAUUUCUGCAGGGCUUCUUCAUCUCUGUCAUUAAACAAAAUAAUUGACAUUGAGGAGUGCAUUUCUUCAAUGACGACUAAACCCGCUCAGUUGGUUCCAACACACCGAUUUAAUGUUUAUUUAUGAUUUAACUCAACUAACCCAGAGUUGGGUAACCCAGAGUUGUGCGCAUUCCAGGUGAAUCUAUAAAGACAUAAGGUCGAAACCCGAAAAAAUGGCUAAACGAAGAGCAACAUAUUUCACAGAAAUGGAGCAGCAAGUCCUCCUCGAGGCGUACGAGGAGGAGAGGGCAGUGAUUACAAAUGGCUUGGCAGAGAAUUACUGAUCGCGUCAAUGCGUAAGUUUAGGCCAUUAUGUGAAUUUUAUAUUAAAUUAAAUAGUGAGGAGAAACUGGCUUCACAUCCUGUUUUCUUAUUAAUAUGAUGCUUUCUAAUACAGACUACUUUUCACUGAAUGAUUUAUUUAUUAGAUGUAACCCCGGUGGGCAGAAGAGAACCUGGAAACGGGUCAAAAUGAAAUAUAAAAAAAUUGUCCAAAUUGCUAAUAAGAAGACUGCAGAGGCGAGAAGGACUGGCGCAGAGAUAACUGAGCCCCUCACCCCUGUCGAGGAGCUGGCAGUAUCUGUAAAUCGGGGACGGCCGAUGAUGGAGGGGAUUCCUGGGGGGGACUUCAUCAGAGCCGGCCACCUCCCAGGAGGAGCACACCCCUCUUGUCCAAUGUAUUUUUCCUAAUUACGCCUAAUAGCCAGCACUUCAUGCGGGAAAGGAACUGCCUGACGGUCGGUGCGUAAAGUGUGCCUUGCGCUAAAGCACUUCAUGCACAACUUUAUUCGUUUUCCUGGCCACAAACCUACGAGGGUCAUUAAGACGCAGUUCCACCAACUGGCAGGCUUUCCCAACGUUAUUAGAUGCAUCGAUGGGACGCAUGUGCCAAUUACAGCACCAUCCCAAAAUGAGGCUGACUUUAACAGAAAAGGUUUCGACAGCAUCAAUGUCCAAAUGAUGCGAUGCUGCAAAUCUAAUAUCAAACGUGGAGGCGAGAUGGCCCGGCUCUGUGCAUGAUGCCAGGAUGAGAAUUUGCUGGCUAUCUCCUGGGGGAUGGAGGAUAUCCGUGCCUCCCCACGCUCAUUACCCCGUACCCCGAUCCGGAUGCUGGAGCGCAAACACGCUUCAACGUGGCUCACAGCAGAACUCCGGGAGAAACUGAGAUGACUUUUGGGAUUCUCAAGGAGAGGUUUAAGUGCUUGUGCAGGCUGAAGGUCUGCCCAGACAGGGCUGGGAUAGAAUUGUUGCAUGUGCCAUAUUGCACAACACUGCCACAUUGCGCAAUUAAUUGACUCCAGUCAUUGAGGAGCCGGUACCGGCUCAUCCCUUUCAGCAGGUUGACAUGGCAAAUGGUCACAGAGUGCGUGAUCAAAUCCGUCUCAAUCAUAUCAAUUAAAAAAAUACAGUUGA